AUGAAGCGGAGCUCCCCAAAACGCAGCGCGGUCCGGAGCCGACAUCAGCCGGUUGAGCCCUACUUGCUGACUGCACGCCCGAUGGUUUUCACUAACCUCUUAUUCAGAGUGAAGUUUUUUGUUUGUUUGUGGUGUUUUGUUUUUUUUUUCGGCUUCACACCCACCGGGGGGGGACGUUUGUUUGAGGGACAACUAAGAGCGAGCCCGCUUAAAGCGCGCAGAACCGAGCCGCCCCUCUCCUCAACUCCCCGCACAAGCACACAUCUCCUCCUCUUCCUCCUCCUCCUCCUCCUCCCCGUGCUCCCGAGGCCAGGCAGAGCCCCUCGGAGCUCCUGCAGAGGGGCACGUUUCACCCGCACCCCCCGCACUUUAGCAGCGCUCCCAGCUCCCGCACCGCCAACCGGCAAAGCAAAGCACACCAAAAUACCUGCUCCGGCCACGGGAAGCCAAGGCGCUGCCAGCUGCCGGCGCAGCCCCGCGGCCGAGGUGACACAACCCAAGACCAGGGAUGUUCAUUUCCUGAAAGCUCAGAGAAAUGAGAGGAUCCGGGGAUGCUGUGCAUGACCCAAAAUGAAGUUUUUCUCCUCCCUGUGCCUAAACAAAACCCUCUACAGCCCAGCGCUUCAGGCCAUACAUAGAAAAUCAGUUGGCACCACAGGCUGAUUUGGCAAAGAUUUUCUAUGGAUACUACUGAAAAUAAAACUAAGAAAAGCACAGCCUCAGCAGGCGCAGUCUGGCACACACAACCUGGCACAACAAUCUGCCAUAGAGGGCUGUAUACCCUGAAGAAAUUCUUAUACAUGUGCCUAAACAAAACCCUCUUAUUCUCUUCCCAAAAGUUAAUCUAGGUUUACUUUUAAAUAAAGAAAUACAUUUUCCACACAAAACCUGCAGAGAAAGGGUAAAGGAGGCUUUGCUUUGUGGGAAGCAUCAUUCUCCUGGUGCCUAGCCAAAGCUUUGCCAAACUGAAACAUUGAUGACUUAUUUUUCUUGUCAACAGAGCUCUGAAGUCACAGAGGGAGGAGCUGAUCAUCCCUCUUGUGCUUUUCUCAACAGAGGGCAAAGUGGAAGCUGCACCCCCUUCUUGGGGCAGCUCCUCAGGGCAGCCACACCAAGCAGCUCAUGCAUAUUUGGGUGAAGAGCAGGUCCCUCCUUUCCUUACUGCAGGGCAGCAUGGCUGUGACACAUGCUACAGGCACAGAUCUCUGCUGUCAUCAGGGCCAGCUUAUCCACUUGGCUCUCCAAAGAAUUCCAGGUUGCUGUUCCAUUUUUAUUAUAUCCGCGCUAAGCUGCAAAACUGGCCCCUCAUCUCAGCAGCAUCCCCCAAGGAGAUGACGGGUUCUCAGGAUCUCCUCGAGUGCCUCGGGGGCCAGGGCCAGAGCAGCAGUGAAAUGCACUGCUUAGCUCCUGACUCCCAGCACAGCAAAAAGCAUGCAUAAUGAAAGCAGAAGACUCGUGUGUGUGUGUGUGUGUACAGGAAAAUCCCUUUAUUUAGUAAACAAAUAGCACCAUGAGAGGCAUUCCAAGGAAAAAAUAAUGUUUUUCUAAAUGAAUUUGCCUUCUCUUAAAUGCAAGCUUGGUCUAAUCUGUGCAUGUUUUAGCCUAGAGAGAGGCCCUGCCCUCUAGGAAAUGCUGCUCAUUUGUGCAGAGUAAAUUAGCUACAUGAUAUGUUGCAUUUUCCAAAUGCUGAAAGGCUUUGGCUCCUCAUUUCCUUUUAACUGGAAUAUUUUCUCAGGUUUAUGAGACCAAAUACUGUAUUUUGCUCUAGUCUGUGCUUUCAAAUGUAAUUUGCUCAUGCUAUUUGAACUGAAGCCACUAUGUCAUUGUUGAAUACCCAUGUUAAAAUCUGCAUAUAUAAUAAAGAUAUACACAUUAAUUUAUAUAAAUAUUAUGCAUACAUGCAUUAGAUAUAUGUGUACCCCGUUUUAAAAAUUAAUUGCUAAGGAUCCUUUUAUUUUUUUUCAGUCACACAGAAUGUUCUAUCUUUAAUGAGUGCAUUUCUGUAAAAAAAAAAAAAAAGAAAAAAAGAAUGUUUUAAAUAAUAUAAAUUAAUAAAUAUAUUCCAAUUCCAAACCAGCACAAUACUGUGAACAUUGUUUCAUUCA
rnacentral:lncRNA from 1 species